rnacentral:rRNA from 1 species
AUUGAACGCUGGCGGCAGGCUUAACACAUGCAAGUCGAGCGGGGUGAUGGUGCUUGCACUAUCACUUAGCGGCGGACGGGUGGGUAAUGCUUAGGAAUCUGCCUAUUAGUGGGGGACAACAUCUCGAAAGGGAUGCUAAUACCGCAUACGUCCUACGGGAGAAAGCAGGGGAUCACUUGUGACCUUGCGCUAAUAGAUGAGCCUAAGUCGGAUUAGCUAGUUGGUGGGGUAAAGGCCUACCAAGGCGACGAUCUGUAGCGGGUCUGAGAGGAUGCUCCGCCACACUGGGAAGGAGACACGGCCCAGAAUCCUACGGGAGGCAGCAGUGGGGAAUAUUGGACAAUGGGGGGAACCCUGAUCCAGCCAUGCCGCGUGUGUGAAGAAGGCCUUAUGGUUGUAAAGCACUUUAAGCGAGGAGGAGGCUCUUUUGGUUAAUACCCAAGAUGAGUGGACGUUACUCGCAGAAUAAGCACCGGCUAACUCUGUGCCAGCCGCCGCCGUAA